rnacentral:rRNA from 1 species
UACGAAGGGGGCUAGCGUUACUCGGAAUUACUGGGCGUAAAGGGCGCGUAGGCGGCGCUCCAAGUUAGGCGUGAAAGUCCUGGGCUCAACCUGGGAACUGCGCUUGGUACUGGAGUGCUUGAGGAUGGAAGAGGGUUGUGGAAUUCCCAGUGUAGAGGUGAAAUUCGUAGAUAUUGGGAAGAACACCGGUGGCGAAGGCGGCGAGCUGGUCCAUUACUGACGCUGAGGCGCGACAGCGUGGGGAGCAAACAGG